UACGUAGGUGGCGAGCGUUGUCCGGAUUUACUGGGCGUAAAGGGAGCGUAGGCGGACUUUUAAGUGAGAUGUGAAAUACCCAGGCUCAACUUGGGUGCUGCAUUUCAAACUGGAAGUCUAGAGUGCAGGAGAGGAGGAUGGAAUUCCUAGUGUAGCGGUGAAAUGCGUAGAGAUUAGGAAGAACACCAGUGGCGAAGGCGAUUCUCUGGACUGUAACUGACGCUGAGGCUCGAAAGCGUGGGGAGCAAACAGGAUUAGAUA
rnacentral:rRNA from 1 species